ensembl:lncRNA
UAGCCUUUGAAAUUCAAAACUGCUGUUAAAGAGUCAAUGCUUUCUCCCUUUUGCUUUAGGUAUUAGGAGCUUGCACCAGAAUUCUUCCCACCUCCUGGUAGCUAGUCCCAGGCCGCAGGAGGACAUUUCUCAGGAUGCGGGUCUGUGUCGCAAAGGCAAUGUUGAUGCAAGGAGUUCUCAUGCCUCCCACAUACCUCAUUUUCUGCUCGUCUCUCAGUCCCACCCCGACACUGCAGCAUGCAGCCUUGCGAGGCGUUUGUAGCCUGGAUCCUUUCAGCAACCUGCCUUCUCGCAGAGCCCUGCUGAUGGCUCCACAGGGUGACUGUGAAAAAGGGAAAAGACAGAAAUAUAUACACUGA